rnacentral:rRNA from 1 species
GAUGAACGCUGGCGGCGUGCCUAAUACAUGCAAGUCGAGCGAACAGAUAAGGAGCUUGCUCCUCUGACGUUAGCGGCGGACGGGUGAGUAACACGUGGAUAACCUACCUAUAAGACUGGGAUAACUUCGGGAAACCGGAGCUAAUACCGGAUAACAUAUUGAACCGCAUGGUUCAAUAGUGAAAGGCGGCUUUGCUGUACCACAUAGAUGGCUCCGCGCCGUAUUAGUUAGUUGGUAAGGUAACGGCUUACCAAGGCAACGUUACUUAGCCGACCUGAGAGGGUGAUCGGCCACACUGGAACUGGGACACGGUCCAGACUCCUACGGGAGGCAGAAGUAGGGAAUCUUCCGCAAUGGGCGAAAGCCUGACGGAGCAACGCGGCGGGGGUGAUGAAGGUCUUCGGAUCGUAAAACUCUGUUAUCGGGGAAGAACAAAUGGGUAGGUGACUGUGCACAUCGUGACGGUACCUGAUCAGAAAGCCACGGCUAACUACGUG